GGGUAAAUAUGAUGCGCAAGUCCACUACUGUCAUGUUUAGAUCUGUCCAUGUGAUAAUGACAAUCAAAAUAUGGAGGCUGAUGAGUAGGUUGACAUCAUCAUGCAGCUUCCCACAUAAUUUUUUCAAAUUUAAGAGAAUAUUUGGAGAAUAAUUCCUUCCGCCACUUGGAAAUUGGUUUUUGAUGAUAAGUAGGUCAGCUGUCAUGCAAGGUCUAAUUCAGUAAACAAGUUGUAUAAUUAAACAGUUAUCAUACUGGAUCGUCAUGUAAUAUUAUGUCAGCAUGC
rnacentral:lncRNA from 1 species